CAUGUACUCUCUCCGUUCCGAAUUAUUUAUCGCAGAAAUGGAUGUAUCUAGAAUUAAAAAAGUCUAGAUACAUCCAUUUUUACGACAAAUAAUUCCGAACGGAAGGAGUAGCAU
rfam:Triticum aestivum genome assembly, contig: Triticum_aestivum_CS42_TGACv1_scaffold_362809_4DS